GAGGGUAUAGCUCAGCUGGUAAAGUGCAUGCUUGGCGUGCACCAGAUCCAGGGUUCAAUCCCCGGUACCUCCA
rnacentral:tRNA from 1 species